CUUUACACAUGCAAGUCGGACGGCAGCACAGAGAAGCUUGCUUCUUGGGUGGCGAGUGGCGAACGGGUGAGUAACAUAUCGGAACGUACCGAGCAGUGGGGGAUAACUAAUCGAAAGAUUAGCUAAUACCGCAUAUAUUCUGAGGAAGAAAGCAGGGGACCAUUUGGCCUUGCGCUGUUUGAGCGGCCGAUAUCUGAUUAGCUAGUUGGUGGGGUAAAGGCCUACCAAGGCGACGAUCAGUAGCGGGUCUGAGAGGAUGAUCCGCCACACUGGGACUGAGACACGGCCCAGACUCCUACGGGAGGCAGCAGUGGGGAAUUUUGGACAAUGGGCGCAAGCCUGAUCCAGCCAUGCCGCGUGUCUGAAGAAGGCCUUCGGGUUGUAAAGGACUUUUGUCAGGGAAGAAAAGGGCGGGGUUAAUACCCCUGUCUGAUGACGGUACCUGAAGAAUGAGCACCGGCUAACUACGUGCCAGCAGCCGCGGUAAUACGUAGGGUGCGAGCGUUAAUCGGAAUUACUGGGCGUAAAGCGGGCGCAGACGGUUACUUAAGCAGGAUGUGAAAUCCCCGGGCUCAACCUGGGAACUGCGUUCUGAACUGGGUGACUAGAGUGUGUCAGAGGGAGGUAGAAUUCCACGUGUAGCAGUGAAAUGCGUAGAGAUGUGGAGGAAUACCGAUGGCGAAGGCAGCCUCCUGGGAUAACACUGACGUUCAUGCCCGAAAGCGUGGGUAGCAAACAGGAUUAGAUACCCUGGUAGUCCACGCCCUAAACGAUGUCGAUUAGCUGUUGGGCAGCAUGACUGCUUAGUAGCGAAGC
rnacentral:rRNA from 1 species